rnacentral:rRNA from 1 species
UACAGAGGGGGCAAGCGUUGUUCGGAAUUACUGGGCGUAAAGGGCGCGUAGGCGGCCUGUUAAGUCGAACGUGAAAUCCCCGGGCUCAACCCGGGAACUGCGUCCGAUACUGGCUGGCUUGAAUCCGGGAGAGGGAUGCGGAAUUCCAGGUGUAGCGGUGAAGUGCGUAGAUAUCUGGAGGAACACCGGUGGCGAAGGCGGCAUCCUGGACCGGUAUUGACGCUGAGGCGCGAAAGCCAGGGGAGCAAACGGG